rnacentral:lncRNA from 1 species
GCUAACACAUCGAUGUCGCUGUGCUUGUGAUAAUAAUAUAUCAGAGAGACAUAGCCAUAUAUAGAAAUCCGUCACCGCUGGUAUAAAAACGAAUUUACUGAAACUGCCCUGUCAGUACAUUUCAUACACUUUUUAGGCAUCAUUUGCCCCACUAUAUCACCAGUUAAAAUGUCAAUGUCUUUAAAGAAAUUUAUGUUCUCCAUAAAUCUUGUAUCUUUGGGAUUUUUCUUGCUGAUAUCGUUUCAAUGUAUAGUCACGUUGGCAGAAGCUAAGGUAGGUUGAUUCUAAGUUCAUAUAUUACAUUUCAAAUAUAUAGAUAAAACAAUUUCUUUUUCUCCAUAAUACUCUAUUAACCCCCUUUUCCCUCCAGAAUCCCAUGAGGAUAUUACAUUUUUUUGUCAGUCUUUCUAUCUUAACUUCAGUUUGUAAGAUGGAGCCUUUUUCCAGAAUAUGGUUCCCCCAAAUUUAAAUGUUUUAAAAUUCCUUUAUCAUACUAGCUACAUCACUUGUUCAUUUCAUUUUGCUAUAUCGUAAGAAAGCUUCUAAGCUCAAAGUAUUCACUAAUUCUAAAAUCCCAACAUCACUCCGAUUGUCUACAAUUUGUUAAAGAAACUGUUAUUGAAAAAUCGCCAACUGUUUAAGAUGAUUUAAAUACAAUGUUCAUGUUUUAAAGCCACCCAAGAAACAGGCAAAAUACGUUUUGAAAAUAGGUAAUUUAGUAUCAUUUCUUAUACAAUGGCGAAAGUUUAGUGAAGAUUGUAUUUUUCCAAAAGAUUUCCACCACUUUCGAAUUCUAUCUGCAAAUCAUCUUCAAGAUUUACAUUCCUGUUUUACUUACAUAUUUGAAAAGCUUAGCAGAUCGUAUUUGAUGGUAUAAGACGUACUAUCUCCCUCUUUCCUCUCACUCUCUCUCUCUUCCCUAUCUCUCUUCCCCUUCCCCCUCUCUCUCUCAAAAGUUCCAAAUAAUUACAUGCAUUAAAAAAUACCAUAUUUACAAUGGAGGGAUAGGUGUCCUCAUCUUGUUUGUUGCUAUCACAACGUUUCGGCUGAUGUACUCUCCAGCCUUCAUCAGGUGUUCAGGUGGAAUUUGACUAGUGGGGUACACUAAGGUAUGUUGCUGAUGUUAUUUUUCUGCUGGUUAGUAGCCCGCGCUUUUAUCCACUACGCUAUAUGCCCGUGGGCAAUUGUAUAGUGAAUUUUAGGGUCUAUAAACCUAGUAUUUUAUCUUCUCUUAAUACUGGUUCCCAUAUUACAUUAAUAUCUGCACUUCGUCUGCUUAGGGGUUACUAUGUCCUAGCAUAUGUGCUGCCUCUUAAUUUUCGUAUUUUCCAGUGGUGUUCUCUAUCAAUUAUUUUAACUUCAUCCUUACAGCGGGAUGUGGUCUCCGUUUUUCCAGACAUGAUCAGCUACACCCGAUUCUUCAAAGUCCCCUCAUGUCACAUAUUUACGAUGUUCCUCUACCCUUACUUUAAGGGGACGGCAUGUUUCACCUUUGUAUAACCUACCACAACUGCAUGGGAUAGGGUACACGUAAUUCUUGUUCCUAAUCUCUUCUAUGGAUGGUUUUACUCGGAGAAGAUAUUUGCAAAGUCUUUUCCGAGAGGCCUUUGGCACAGGGUAGACAGACUGUACUCAAUUUACGGGUUUCAUGCCCUCCUCUCUUCCUAAUUGUGGUGGACAGUAUGUUAUUUGGGUAGUUGUUGCAUAGUAAAUUGUUUCUUAGCCUCAUCAUUUCUUCCUGGAGUGUAUCAAUAUCAUUGCUUAAAGUCUUUGCUCGAUGUUUUAGAUACUGCGCAAUCUCCCUCUUUAUACUGUAUGGAUGGUUGGAAUUGAAGUUGAGGUAUUGCCCAGUGAAGGUAGCUUGCGAUAUACGGAUGUCCUGAAUCCAUGCUCAGUGCGCGUUAUUAAUACGUCCAGGAAUGCUAACCGAUUGUCCUUUUCCUUUUCCAUUGCGAACUGUAUGGAUGGCUUUUAUUGAGUUCACAUGAUCUAGUAGUACUUGGACAUCCUCCUGGCGGGGCCAGAGUAUGAAGGUGUCUUCAACAUAUCGAAGCCUUAGAGUUGGCUUUAGUGAUGUUGAUCCUAAAGCCUAAUUCUUAAAGUAUUCCAUGUAUAUAUUAGCUAUUAUUGGUGAUAAUGACAAACCCUUAGCUAAACCAUCAUCCUGUCGAUAGAUAUCACUAUCUACUCUAAAGUAGGUAGUUUCUACGCAGCAAGUCAACAUUUCCAUCAAGGUUUCUAUUGGUAUACUAGUGCAUUCAUUUAGAGAGGUAUCCGCCACUAGUUUGUCUUGAAUCACUGAUAGUGCUUCAUUGGUUAGGACUUUGUUAAACAGACUUAUCACAUCUAGACUAACCAUCUAGUUGGAUCCUAUGGGAGUACCCUUGAUCAAUUCUGUGAAGUGAGUGGAAUUCUUCACAUACGAUAUUGACUUACCUGAUAUGGGUUGGCCAUUAUCACCAGUAGCAAGUGGCAAUCAUGUUCUAUGGACGUGUCUCUUGAGGCCUGCUGGUGCCUUGCAACCUUUAGGCAAAUGGAACAAGUUGAGGACUCAGUUUGUUUAAGUGCUUGUGGAUCAUUUACUAUGUGUUUUCUUGAGCGGGCGGCAAGGCCUGCUUUGCUUCGUAUCACGAAACCACAAUGACGGGAGCAGUGUUUUACCAGCGUGCUUUCAUGCUUGCACAAUUGUUGGUCCCGGUGCUGGAGUCGACUUUGGUCAAGUCUUUGAACUGAGAAGAAGCAGGACUUGCGCCAGGUCCUGCGUUCUGAUACUUUGUUUUCUCUGGAAAAAAAGAGAAUGUUCAUCGCUUCAGAUUGUUUUUUAGUUAGUCUUUCAAGCGCAAGUGCAGCCUUCCAACUGACCUUCCUCUUGGGAAUUGCUUCGGUAUUCUGAUAUCACACAUAUGUGAGAGAUAACCUGACCAUCUAAGCUGUAUUAUGAUGUGGAUAGUUUCAAUACCUAAUAUAUAUAUAUAUAUAUAUAUAUAUAUAUAUAUAUAUAUAUAUAAUAUAUAUAUAUAUAUAUAUAUAUAUAUAUAAUGUAUGUUUUACUUUUUGCUUAAAUAGAAAUCUUUUGCUAUUUAAGUAACCAGUAAAACAUACAUUUUCGAGUUUGAAAAAAGGCUACUUGAAGUUCGAAGCUCAGAGUAACCCACUAAAAAUUAUUAAGAUUAAAAUAAAAAUUAUCCCCUAAUUAACCCCUAAAAAAACCCCAUCUCUACUCAUUCUUUCAAAUAUAUAUAUAAUAAUAUACCAAUGACUUUCUCUUUAUUAUUCUAUUAUAUAUAUAUAUAUAUAUAUAUAUAUAUAUAUAUAUAUAUAUAUAUAUAUACAUGAAUGCAUAUAUUUAUGUUUCUGAUGUUAUCAAUAUACUGAAGUGCACACUCAAGACCGAACCCCAGAACUGAUAAUCAACCUCAUAGAUAUCACAAUAACACCAAUUUUUCUCUAAACGAUUAUAGAUGCCCAUCGUAUGCUGAUCUGUUGUAAAUCAUUAUGGUUUUGAUACCUAGCUAACUGUACCAUCCAAUCCAGCGGCAUCGACAGCGUAGAACAAAAUAUUUAAACGCAGCACGCGAGUUAAAAGAGAUAGCACGUACAUACACACUCACUCACCCACUCAUUUACACACACGCGUACAAACACACUCUCACGCAAGCAGAACAUACAUAUUCUUGCGAUAAAACAGAAUCUACAAUGCAUAACAAAUGUCUUUCUAGCUAACAACGAUACGAAAAAGUUAAACUUAUACAAUCUGCUUUGAACCUAACCUCAAUAGCCUAGUUAAAAAAGGUCAAAACCCAAUUAUAACGGAAAUAUAAUGGUAACAAACACAAGGAAAUAUAAGUAUCUAUGAAAAACCGUCAAGAGACUUCCGGUGCCGACACAGCAAGGCAAUAUAACCAUUGCCUUGUUGAUAUUUUGAAAUCAUUUGAUACGUACGUUUCAGCUUUGCGCAAUAUUUAAUAAAUGCAUUCAUUACGUAAAUCUUCCUCCGUUAAAGCAUUUUCAAAAUAUUUUUAAGUGCUUUAAACUGAGGGAGUUUUGUGUAAUCGAUGAAUUUCCUGUUAUAUAUUAAGAAAGCUAGAAACGUACGUACUAAAUAAUUUCAAAAUAUUACUGUUUGGUUUUACUUCAUUAUUACAACUUAUGCGAGUCGAUUCCAGUACAAAUUAGACAGUGUAGACUAUACUUAUGCAGAUACUUUGACAAUAACUUGGAAGAGUCUGAUAUAUUUGAUAUGAGUCCAAAAUUUCGGUACCGUGCACCGCCUCUUAGUAUAACAUGAAAUAUGUAUGUCUCUUCUAUUUUUUAAUUAUUAUAAAUCUUCCACUGAGGAGGGAGCCCGUUUCCAACAAAGAUACAAGGCUCAAUCUUUUGGUUGUAGCUAACACAGACAAAUUCACAUUUGGAACUUGAUAAAAGUCUUGCAUAUUUUUACUGUUCCACUCACAGAUUGCAAUUGUAAUGUACGAAUUAGCCGGUCAGUUUCUCUUUCUGAAAAUCCCAGUUUAUUCAUAUUCUCCUUUAAGCUUUUGCUAACAAAACUUAGUGCUCCAUUUAUUAUUGUUAUGAAUAUGAAUUCAUAGUAUUGAUAUAGAAGCAGGAUGUUUCGAAGCAGUUGUCCAUAAAUAUCCUCUUUUUCUUUGAUUUUCAAAUACUUAUAUCUGAAGGGCAGUUAAUCUCUAUGAUGGUACACACCUUUACCACUUUGUCCCAAACAACAAUAUCCGGCCUGUUAUGUUUACAUUUGACAGAAGUUUGGAUGAGAAUAUUCUACCAGUGUGUAUAUAUGUAUGUAUGCAUAUAUGUAUAUAUAUAUUUAUAUAUACGUACACACAAACAUGUGUAUAAAUACAUGCAUACAUAUAUACGUAUACAUAUGCACACAUAUAUGUUCUUCUAAGAAGAACAGGAUGGAGUAAGUGGAGCAAGAACACACAUGAAAAAGAAAAGUGUACCUGAAGAGGUCACAGAUGUGUGACGAAAGAUUUCCGGGCAAUGAACAUGAAUUAAAAUAAUAAAAUAAGAAUAGUAAUAAACGAGUGAAGAAAAAUAUAUAGUGCGUGUGUUUAUUUGGCAAAAAAGACAAAAUGACCAUCCCGAAAUACAACAAUAUAUAUACAUGUCUAUGCGAAUAUAUAUGUAAAUACGAGGGGGUGCUGAAAAGUUCCGGCUUUGUGCAAAAGAUAAUACAGGAGGCUCAUUAAUUAUGAUUUUAUUGAACAUAUUCCCCUCUCAUAUUCACACUCUUCUUGCAGUGACUCUUUGGUUUUUCUAAGCCCCGUAAAAGAAAAUCUUGUGCAGUUGUAACAAUAGGAGCCAAUAGUUUCAUCAUCAUCCAUGGUUCAUCAACCUCGCAGCCAAUGAUUCUUUUGUGUCUUGUCAUCUAAAAAGCAAGAAGGUUCUUGAGUCAGCACAGGCGUCAACUGCAACAACGAGGCUGUGGUGGUGUUGAGAUAUUAGAAAGCAACACGGAGCUUCUUAAGUGUUCAUCGACAUACUAGAAAUAUCAGUAAUCUAACUGAAAUCACACGUUAAAGACCUAAACAAUGAAGGACAUUUUAGAUUGUGUAGUUUUAGAUACACUAAAUCUGGAAAAGAGACGGGAUAGAGCAAAUAGAAAAAAAAAUUGAGUAUAAUUUUGAUGGAUCAUGACUCACUUUCUUCUACAUAACGAUAACAAUAAAAAGAGGAUGAAAUAGGUACCAACAACAGCAGUAGCAGCAGCAGCAGCACCCCGACCUCCUACGCAACCGCUGAGCCUGGAUGCGUAUUCAUCCAUCCGUCGAUGCUCUCGGUGUCGGGGGUUGACCUGCUUUCUCUUCUUCGGGUCUUACGAAUAGCAAAGGACCACGUUUCGGACUUCUCCCACUACACUCUGAGACGAAGACCGUUUCGCUCAACAAACAAACAAAACAAACAAAGCAGCAGCAGCAACAACAACAAUAACACGGUAGAUACAACCUCAAUAAAAGUGAUGUUACCUGUUAAAUUGUCGCUUCCAUGUCUGACAAGCACUAUGACUUCAAUUCCGUAAUCAAGGCAACACAAAACCUACCCCAAGACCAGUUUUCAGAAUAUGUGUUUGUUGUCAGUUAUCUUCCAAUAUAGAUAUUUCAAAAUUUAAUAUUUCUGUGAAAUAUUUUGAGAUAAUUAUCAAAACAAUGCUUUCUUUUUAUUUUCUAGAAUCCCGCGAAAAAGGUUAUCAAGGUUUCUACGUUACAAGUAAGUGCUUUGUAUCGUCUCUUGUCCGUGUUCUAAAAUAAUUUAUCACUUCUGAUGAAUCGCCUACCUAAUUAAGAAUAUUAUCACUAUUCAUACUCACGUCUAUUAAUAUUCAAAUUAAUAUAAAAUGUUUGAUAAAUAUCUGAAACCAGUAUAAACAUUUUUCAUUCUAUAAGAUUUAUAAGAAAGAAGCAGAAAACUUAGUGACUUAAUAAAUCUUAAAGAAGAAUACUUCUGGCUGGAGGUGGUUGAUUAUUUUGUUGUUGUUUAGUUCCAGAUCAACCCUGAUCAAGCGGACCUUGGAUCGAAGGCAUUCUAACCCUGAUCAUCCAGAUUUUUCUCAGAUAUUUUAUAUAUAGGAUUACCUUGUCUGAUGUUUCCUCUUAUCAAGCCGGUAUGAUACGAUCUUACGAUUUCACAACUACUUCUUAUUGAUCGGGCGAACGAGGUGUGAAUCCUUUGUUAGCAACCGACAUUCACAUUAGAAGCUUUUGUGCUGAUAUCUGGCUUAGCGGGGAAGGGUUUAUAAAAUCGUGGAAACAGAAGCGGUUUUCCAAAUAUAAGCCAUCUCAAUUACUGCAUGUAAUAAAGAUGAUAUAAAGUAGCAAGAUUAUAGUACUAUUUACACUAAAGUAUUUAACUUUAUUCAUAUUACUUCCUAGUAUAAAAUCUGUCUGAAUCAUUGUAAUAAAUUGUAUGCUAUUUACUUUUACUCAUUAACAACAUUUCUUGUAUCUAAAUCGGAAACAAUUAUAAUUUUAACAAAGAGAGGAGAGUGAGAGACUUACAUAUUCAGCAUGAGAAAUUAAGUGUUGGUGUUAACGUACUUAAGAUAGUGAACUAAAAUACUUCAUUUAAAAUGUUUAUGUCUGUUAUCAAGGGCCUGAUAAAUACUGAUAAAAAAUAUAUUGAGGAGACCUAGUAAGACAAGCAUGUCUAGGUUGUUACCAUACUUCAUAUCUACAGCUUGUCCUCUGAUUAAAUCUCUAAUUCAAUAUGAUUUAAUAUAAAUACCAGAAUUUGAAAUUAAACUUUUAUUUCCAAAUAGCGACAUUUCAAUUAAUUUCAAAAUAAUUUUGAAUCAUUAUCUUUAAUGCAGUGUGCGGCACAAAGCGUUUAACUUCGAAUCAGAAGGUUGCGUUUUCGCGUCUCGGCGUGGUUGAUUAUCUUUUAUGGGUUUGGGCAUGCCCUUGAGGUUAGAAGCUCGCUUCUCAACUACAUGGUUUUGGGUUCUGUCCCAGAACCAUCUUGGGCAAUUGUUGCCAACUGAAGCCCCAGGCCGAUCGAAGACUUGUGAGUGGAUUUGGUAGGCGGAAACCGAAAAGAGCCCGCCGACGUAUAUAUAUAUAUAUAUAUAUAUAUAUAUAUAUAUGUGUGUGUGUGUGUGUGUGUGUGUGUGUGUGUGUGUGUAUGUGUGCGGGCGUGCGUGUGUGUGUUUGUGUGUGUGUAUGUGUCUUUGUGUUUGUGUUUGUCUUCCUCCACCGCUAACAACCAGUGGUGGUUUCUUUACAUUUCCGUAACUUAAGAGCUCGACAAAAAGAGACCGAUAGAUUAAGCACCAAACUUGUUCUAUUCUUUCAAAUAAAAACCCUUCAAGACGGUGCCCUAGCAUGGCCGCACUCCAAUGACUAAAAUGAGUGUGACGCUUAUUAAUUUAAGUAAUAAUGGCGCCUUCAUGCUGCUAAUGUUUCAUCGUUUUAUUUUUCAGUUACCAAUAGGGUUUAAAUCAAUGCACACUGUGAGUUUGUUAAUGAAACGUUUAUCAAGACUAUAAAUCUGAAGCUAUCUGCUGCUUCCUGUACAUUAUCACCCAUGUAACUGACAAAUUAGGUGACGGUUACAUAAUUCUGUGUCUUUUUACUCGACAGCUUUAUAUUCUUGCUUAAUGGGUUGUUUUUGUUUUCUCCAGAUUCCUCCCUUUUACAUGGAAGAAAAGCAUGAAAGCGGAAGAGAACAGCAUGGCUACAUAGUUGACAUGUUAGCUCAGAUGGCUCCAUUAAUGAAUGUGACCUUUGACAUAAACUUAGUGAAAGACGGACGCUUUGGACAUAUUGAUGAAGAUGGAAACUGGACCGGAAUGAUUGGAGAAGUUAUAUCAGGGGUAAGGCGACUUGAAACUACUUUGAAAAUAUAUCUUUCUCCGCUGAAAAAGAUAUUGAUAACGCUCUGAUGCAUAUGUCUCUAAUGUCUCUAACGUAUAUAUAUAUAUGUCGGUGCCCCAGCAUGGCCACAGCUCGUGAGCUGAAACUAGAUAAAAUAAAAAAUAAAAUAAAAAAUAUAUAUAUAAUGAUUCACAAUCAACGUGCAGAAAUGGCGUAUUCCGAAUGAAAAAGGUAAUGUAAUCCGAUGGUAGAGAGAAUUCCGCGAAUUAGGUACUCCAAAGUCAGUCAGAAGGCUGGGGCUCUGUCUUCUAUUGGACUUUCCUCUGUUUCUGAAGAAGAGCGUCUGCUCGAAACGUUAAACCACCUUUCUUUCCUUCCUUGAGCAUCUGCUAAUACUUUACAUGUACCACGUCCUCGCGUUGUUUUUUUGUGUUUGUUUUUAGUUUCUCUCUCUCUCUCUCUCUAUAUAUAUAUAUAUAUAUAUAUACACAUGCAUACAUAGAUAUAUAUGUAUAACGUAUAUAAUCAGAUAGAAAGGUAAUUAUCUCCCUGUACAGAACAACUCAUUAGCGUCCUAAUUAAUAGAACAUGAAAUAUAAAUAUUAAUAUAAAGAGAAGAGAAUAAAUUUCAGGAGUCAGAGUUCAUCUCGUCAGUAUAUUUCCCGACAUCGGAAUACUUCAUAAAUAAUAAUUUUUUUCAGUCAGCUUCUCAUGGUCGUUCAAAAGAUAUUAAUGUAAGUCUGUGGAUUGGUGGAACUGCAAAUUAUCGAACCGGAUGCCUUGCAGUUUUUGUUCCGGCUCUUAAAAUUCAAGUUCUGUAAUAGCCUACUUUGGUCGGUUUAAUAUUACUAUGUGACAUAUUCAGUGCUUUUAACGAAUGUUGCAAGCAUUAGGGAGAGGUCUCUUGUUUGAAUGCACCUUCCUCCCCACAUCUAUUUGCAUCUGAGAUCCGGUAGCAGUUCUUGGACACUGCCUUCUCUCCUGACUCAAGGAUAAAAACUAUACCAUGCUUAGUAGAAUUUGUUCUUGUGUCAAGUGAAAAUAAUCUAAUAUUUAUUUAUUUGUUGUUUGAGAAGUAAAGACAGCAUUACCAUCAAUAUACUUCCAAAGUUACCCGUCAUAUAAUGGGCAGUACUAUAGUGUAAUAAUUAUUAAUGUUAUUCCCAGCAACGGAUAUUCCUAUUCUCUUGGAAACAUCUCCAGACUUUUGUUCUAUUAAACAAAUAGAAAUUUAUUUUUAAUAGAUUUGUAAGAAAAAAAAGAAAAAGAAGCGCGGCGUCCACGACCCUUUUUAGGCAACCUCGAGAAGGUUUGAUUACGAAAGUUAAGGAGACCAGGAUCAAAUACUUGAAACACAAUAGGCCCCGCUCAAAUCUCCCAGAAGGAAGUGGGUGAAGUUGAACUGGUCGAUUUUCUGUACAAGACUUUGGUUGAUCCAAGGCAUUGGUAAGACACAUUUACACAAGGUAUCAAAUGCUGUGAUCGUACCCCAAAAGACACAUAGUUACAAAGUGAACUUCUUAGUCGAUGGAAAUUUAAACCCCAAGAAAAUAUUUCAUUUAUAUUUUCUUUUAAUAACAUUUUUAUAUCCUUUAGACGAUGUUUAAAUUAAGUAGUCAUCUUAUUUCAUUUACUUUACUAAUGCUAUUGGAAAAGGAAUAUAUUUAGCCUACCAAGGCCAUUGUAAGAUUAGGUCCCAGUUUGUCAAUAUUUAAAACUUACAUUUAAAAUUUCAAAAAAAUGAUGUUAAAACUCCCGAUGCGAUGUAAUGUGCUAUUUGCUUAAGGCAGCGAGCUGGGCGAAAUGCGUAGCCGUAUUUUGUCUGUCGUUACGUUCUGAGAUCAAAUUCCGCCGAGGUCGACUUCGCCUUUCAUCCUUUCGGGGUCGAUAAAUAAAGUACCAGUUACGCACUGGGGUCGAUGUAAUCGACUUAAUCCCUUUGUCUGUCCUUGUUUGUCCCCUCUAUGUUUAGCCCCUUGUGGGCAGUAAAGAAAUAUAAUGUGCUAUUUGCUCCCUGAUAAUGCGAUUUCGGUUUCAAAUACAAGAAACUGUACUCAUUCAUAUUUUCUUAAAAUUAAUAACCCCUAACGUCCUCUUUGAAGUUAAAACAAAAGAUAUUGGUCUAGUUUCCAUUCUAAAGGAAGUAAUUAUUUCAUUUUCAGCAUGCUGAUAUUGCUGCCGCUCCUCUUACCCUCGAUUCAAACCGUUUGAGACAUGUGGAUAUGUCUUUUCCAUUUCUAAGUUCUGGAUAUAAAAUCGUUAUUAAAAAACCAGAUUUGACACAAGUGAGACGUGGACUUUUCAUUAUUUUAAAACCAUUCACAACUCCUGUUUGGUGUUUCAUCAUAUUAGCUUAUGUACUGACCGGUAGCUUUCUGGCAAUAAUCGGUCGAAUUAGUCCGUAUGAAUGGACAAACACGUCGGACGUGGAUGUUGAUUCGGAAAAACGUAGCAGUUUUAAUUGUAUGAAUAGUUUUUGGUUCACCUUCAGUACAUUCAUGUGGCAAGGUAAGUGAUGGUGUGUCACAAUGAUGGCACGUACCUUUCAUUUUUAUUACUAUAUGUUCACUCACAUUCUUAAAGUAUGCAAAUGCAUUUUACCAAUCCAGCCAGACCAGUCUUAAUUAUCAAGUCCAUUAUCAAAUUAAAAUCUCAGUUAUGUGCGCAUGUUUGUAACUGUGUAAGAUUGUGCAUACUGUAUCUAAAACACAACUGCCUAUAAAAUUAAUUGUAUUUUCUUUACCAAGGUCCUUUCUAUAAUUUCGUAUUGCUUAUUAUUAUUAUUAUUAUUAUUAUUAUUAUUAUUAUUAUUAUUAUUAUUAUUAUUAUUAUUAUUAUUAUUCAGUAGUUUUAUUUUUAUUUUAUAGCGUGCUUUCACUUCACUACCGAGCGCAGCUCUGUGUGCCUUGGGUAUGUGCUGUGAUUUGUUGUGAUGCUCUGAUGGUUAUUGUAUGGAAAGUGUUCUGCGUAGGAUGUGUGCAGUGCCUAGUAGUGCAAUUUUCUGUAUGUUAUAUGUGUUUGUAAGUCCUGGUGUUUUUGUUAUGUAUUUAUCUGAAUAUUUUUUUAUCAUGCCUAAUGCACCUACUAUGAUAUGAAUUGUUUCUGUUUUCAGAUUCCACAUUCUAGUUACCUCUAUUUCCAGGUCUUUGUAUUUUGAGAGUUUCUCCAUUUCUUUUAGAGACACGUUGUCAUCAGCCGGUAUUGAUACAUCAAUUAGAAAGCAUUUUUUUCUUCAUGGCCUCUGACAACUAUAUCUGGUCUGUUGGCCUUAAUUUCUCUAUCUGUGUGUAUCGGCAUAUCCCAGAGUAUGGUUGCUUUCUCGUUUUCUGUGACCUUUUCUGGUGUGUGCCUAUACCAUCUUUUUUCUGUUGUUAUUCCAUAAUGUUGGCAUAGCUUCCAAUGUAUGUAGGUUCCAACUCUGUCAUGUCUGUGAAUAUAUUCCUUCUUAGCCAGGACUGGGCAGCUAGAGAUAAUAUGAUUUAUUGUUUCUUGUCCAUCUCCACAUAUUCUGCAGUUACUUGUAAUAUUUCUUUUCAUUACAUGUUUUUGGUAAUUUCUGGUGGGGAGGCUUUGGUCUUGUGCUGCAAUUAAAAAUCCCUCUGUUUCUGCUUUGAGUCCUGAGCUUCUCAACCAUUGCUGGGAUUUUUCUUUGUCUAUUUCUUUUGCGUUUAGUUUAGUGCAGUAUUUACCACGAAGGGGCUUUUCUUGCCAUCGUUUUAUCAUGGUUCGUUGCUGUUCUAUUUUUAGUUUGGAUUUCAUUUAUUAUUAUUAUUAUUAUUAUUAUUAUUAUUAUUAUUAUUACUAUUGUUAUUAUUAUUAUUAUUAUUAUUAUUAUUAUUAUUAUUAUUAUUAUUAUUAUUAUUAUAGUUAAAAUCCUCAUACGCGUUAUGAAAAUGUCAUACUUUCAAAGGUUCGACACAACACAUGCCUACAUCAUUUUAUCUCAUACAUCAACAUGAAGGCUCUAGAAAUUUUAAUGGUGGCUUUGGGAACAUAACUGUUAAGGAAAAAAUGGAAAGGAACUUGCAUGAAAAUAUGAGAAAAACUUUGGUAAAAAGGCACAGCGAGAACGCAUACAUGUUUUCAGUGCACAUUUAAAAGAAAUGCUUUUCCUCCUCUUCCUCCCUCACUUUAUAUAUAUAUACGUAUCUGAUACAAGCAAAACAUUUAUAAGAAGAAUUUUCUUGAAUCGUAACUCUCAUUUCUGAAGAUUGGUAUUUAGUCAGUGUGUUACAUAUCCCAGUACCCCAAUAAUUACAGGUAUAAACCUGAACUGGUAAUCUGAAUAAAGUAACUAUAGAUUUCUCAAUAGUUCAGCAUAGGUGUUCUCUUUUUCACUGAUCUUCAGCUUUACGUUUACAUCCGUUGGGCAGCUAAUUUCCACAACACAGUUUCUCUCCUCUAUCCUAAAUCAUUAUAUCAGGUUUAAUUUCAAGAUGGCGGUCCACGAUGAAGCCAGGUCAGCUAUGGCUUUGACUAUUCUCACUGGAACUUUAGGAAGUUGAAGAGCUUCUAGCUUCCAUGAGUGGGGAACGGAAUCAAAGGCUUUCUUGUAAUCUAGCCACAUUGUAUGUAUGUAUGUAUGUAUGUAUGUAUGUAUGUAUGUAUGUAUGUAUGUAUGCAUUUAUGUAUGAUUGUAUGUAUGUAUGUAUGAAUGAAUGUAUGUAUGUAUGUAUGUAUGUAUGUAUGUAUGUAUGUAUGUAUGUAUGUAUGUUAGAUACAGUCUUUUAGCUAUACUUAUGUAUCUAUACUACAAUGGAGAAAGCUGCUUACCAACUAGGUAUUUGGUAUGUAUUACUAAAAGUACUAAAAGAAAGCAAUAUUAAAAACUUUACCGUCUGUUACUAUUGCAUUUGUCACUAAUCCUUCUGAUGAAAAUAUUCGGAGUAUCCUGCUGGAAAAUAUUAACGUAUCAUGUUUCAUGCCAGUUCAUAAUAAUUAUGUUUACUUGCUGUGUAUAGGUAUGACCUCAUUAUGUACGUCUUUUUGCAUGAUAUGCAUUAUAGCCUCAACCAGUCACUGAAUCUUUGAAACAGCUGUAAAGAUCUAUCUUCAUAUUGUAAUAUGGAUAUGUAUGUGUAGCAUCUCAUAUAAAUGAAUUCUUACCACCUAUAACAGCCUGAUUUGUGAUUAUAAAUACAUACACACAUACAUAUUUACCUACACACACAUUUAUAUGUGCAUACAAGCAUACAAGUACACACACACACACACACACACACACACACACACACACACACACACACACACACACACACAUAUAUACAUACACAUUUAAAAAUACAUUAAGAAUAGAAAAAAAAGAAAAUGCUUUGGAAAUUUUAUCUUGGAAAAUGUAUUAAUAACAUUUUAAAGAAAGUAAACUUCCAGUUUCAGUCGUUUUAAAAGGAUGAUUUAGUCAUACUGAAAUAAAGGGGAAAAUAAAUUGAAAUAAAUUAAAUUAAUUUAAAUCUUUCAUCACAUCAGCCCCGGAAGUUCAUACUUUGCCAACAAAAGUCAAAUGGUGCGGCGUUUCGUGUCUUUCUGACCGUUUCUGGUUGACACCCAAAUACACUCACACAUGUAAAUUUAUAUAUAUAUAUAUGCAUACAUACACAUACACACACAUAUAUUUAUCACGAACACAUACAUAGGUACUCAUAUAUUCAUAUUCAUAAUUAUAUAUAUAUAUAUAUUUUUAGGAUAUCGUAUUGCGCCUCGGUCUUAUUCUGGAAGAACACUCAGCGUGUUUUGGUGGAUAUUCGUCUUGGUAACACUGGUUCUUUACAUCGGUUCCAUGGCAGCGCACUUACUGGCAAACAGACCAAAGAAUGCUUUUCUACCAUUCACAACUUUUUAUGAAAUGGCCAAACAAAGUGAAGUCCGUUAUGGGGCCUUAAAAUCAGGUUCAACUCUCCGUUAUUUUAAAAGGUCAUCAGUUGCUAUGGAAAGACGUAUUUAUGAAAACAUCAUGAAGAAUCAAAGUGUUUUGACAUCGUCAACAGAGGAAGGUUUGCAAAGGGUGCGAGAAUCAAAUGGCAUGUAUGCCUAUAUUAUGGAAGGCGAUCUGGCUGAAUUUUUAGUUAGUCAAAAACCCUGUGACCUUAUGGUAGUCGGAGACAUAGGAGAUCACUCUUAUUCCUUUGUCACGCAGAAGAAUUCUUUACUGAGUAAUGAGGUAAAUCAUGCUAUUAUUAGCCUAAAAGAAAUGGAUAUUAUUGAACAAAUACAUAAGAAAUGGAUGCUGGGUGAAUGUCACACGACUAUCUUUUGGGAAGUCUUCAUGGACGGUCAAGCAUACUUUGAUAAAAUCACUUCAAUACAUGACAACAUCUUCAGCGGCCUUAACAUCACUUUAUUUGCUGGCCCUUUGAUAAUAUUGCUCAUUGGAAUGAUUAUAGCUGGAUCUUUAUUGGUGGCUGAAGUGUUCCUGUCAGGCGGAGAUAUCAAGGUAAGUAUAUAAAUUAUUAUUACUAUUAUUAUUUUAUAUACGCACAACAGAUUAGACUGUUGGAAAAAUUCCUAACAUCGGGUUACAACAAGUAAUCUUAGAUGCCAAGAACUCUCCGAAGUAUUCUAACUGUCCCUAAUAACACUUUUUUCUGGAGUUGCACAAGACUAUGUUUUAUGCCUAUUUUCCAUGUCCAUCUGUUCAAAUACUUAGUGAUAGUUACUAAUAGUUCCCAUAGUCUCUGUAAUUAAAUGGCUAGAUCGUAGUACUUUGCUAUUUUUUCUAUACCUCUCAUAUUGACUUUCUCAUCAUUUGGAACUGUAAAGUUAUAUGGUACUUUUUAUUCUUUUUGUCUACUAAAUCAAGACUUCUAGUUUCUAUUACUCUGUCCAUCUCAAUGUUAAAGUCCCACAACAUCUUUCUUACUUUUUACUAAUUUACUAGGUUCAUGUUCAUACCAUCUAUCAUUAUCGUAAAAUCCUAGAUUCCUACAUAAUUCCCAGUGGAUUAUGCUCUCUAGGUUGUCAUGACUAUUCUUGUAUUCUUUCUGUACCACCAUGCUAUAUUCACUUACUAUAUGAGUAGCACUAUCUUUUUUUGAUUUACAUAACCGACAUUAGGAAUCUACCUGGUUUUUGUUUAUUUAGGCUUUUAUCCAAUUAGUCCUUAAUGCUUGAUCUUGUGCAGCUACUAACAAACUUUCUGCCUCCCUUUUCUGCUUCUCUUUCUGCAAACAUAAUCAUGUCUCACUACUACUAUUUGCUGUAAUUAUCUUUGGGAAUCUACCACGAAAAGUCUUCUCUUGCCUGACAGAUAAUGUUUCUUCUGGGUUUUAACUUUAUUUGGCUUUUUGGUUUCCUUAUAUCUUGUGACACUAGCAGCUCUUAAGCUUUCUUCACUAUUACCUACAUAGGAGUCUAUAUCUACUCUAGCUGACUGGAGCGUAUAUUAGCCGACGCGUUGUGUUAACAACAAACAAGAUGAGGACAAAUAUCCAUCGAAUGUAAAUAAUGUAAACAGUAUUUCUGCAAGCAUAAUCAUAUCUCUCUGCUACUAUUUGCUGCAAUUAUCUUUGGGAAUCUACCAUGUUAAGUCUUCUCUUGCCAGUCUGAUAUCCUUCUUCCUUUCUUGGGUUUUAAUUUCAUUUGGCUUUUUGGUUUCCUUAUGUCUUGUGACUCUAGCAGCUCUUAAAUUUCUUUCACUAUUACCUACAUCUACUCUAGCUAACACCACACAGUCUUACACUGAUAUUAACCCUAUUCUAUCUUACCUUUCCAGGUAAGUAUAAUCUUACUACUCCUGUUCUUGAGAGAGGUCCUCUAUUUGUACUGAAUUUCUUCUUACUUCUGUGUAGACUUGCUCAUUCAGAUUUUGUCCAAUCUACAAAUUCGGACCAUUUAGCUUUGACUUCAUUAGCUUUCUCACCCUUCUGAUGUACUUCUCAGUUUUCGUUUUCCUUUCUAUAGUUAGUGCUCUGUUAGAUAUCUAAUACUCCUAGAUACUUACAACUCUCCCCUUUUAAUGAUUUUAAUGUCUGGCCAUCUGGUAAUUGGACGCCUUCACUGUUGACUACCCGACCCUUUUUCAUGACUAAUAUUUCACACUUAUUAGGCGGGGGUGAGCUGGCAGAAACGUUAGCACGCCGGGCGAAAAUGCUUAGCGGUACUUCGUCUGUCGUUAUGUUGUGAGUUCAAAUUCCACCGAGGUCGACUUUGCCUUUCAUCCUUUCGGGGUCGAUUAAACAAGUACCAGUUGCGCACUGGGGUCGAUGUAAUCGACUUGAUCCCCUUGUUUGUCCCCUCUAUGUUUAGCUCCCUUGAGGGUAAUAAAGAAAUAAAUAUUUCACACUUAUCUAUACCAAAUUCCAUCUCUAUAUCUUUACUAAAGAGUCUUACCGUUUGUAUUAAAUAAUCUAUUUAUUUUUUUAAUAUAUUUUUUAUGAUCUGAAGCCUUUUAGUAAGAAUAAAAAAGACAUUAUUAUUAUUAUUAUUAUUAUUAUUAUUAUUAUUAUUAUUAUUAUAAAGGAGGCGAGCUGGCAGAAUCGUUUGCACGCUAGACGAAAUGCUUAGCGGUAUUUAGCCCGUCGCUAAGUUCUGAUUGAGGCUGACUUUGAUUUUCAUCCUUUCGGGGUCGGUAGAUUAAGUACCAGUGAAACACUGGGGUGGAUGUAACCGACUAGUCCCCUCUCCCAAAAUUUCAGGCCUUGUAUCUAUAGUAGAGAGAAUUGUUAUAAUUAUUAGUAUAUGAAAACUCACAGCUCAUUUUGCUGGGUAUGAUGGGAAGUAUUAGCUGUCCACAGCCAGCAGACUAAGGUGACACUUGUUUACUGGUCAUGCUUCAAGAACCCUGCGAUGAAUUCUUGCAGUUCUAAGCAAUCCUUUUCAACCAUGUUGGUAGCUGAAUGCUGAUACGUCCCCGUAUACCAAUUACUAUUGGUAUCACGUCUACUCUCUUCAUUGAGCACAACCUUCGUAUUUCUCACUUUAAAUCGUCGUAGCUGUUUAUUUUUUUCUUCGAUUUUCAUAUUAAUCCUUUUGUCACCGGGACAUGUUAUGUCGAUAAUCAUACAUGUUCUUUCUUUUUUAUUCACCACAACAAUGUCCUGUUUUCUAUGUCUGGUCAGGUGAUCGUACUGGAUCAUUACAUCCCACAGGAUUUUGCAGUUCUGAUUUUCGGUGACUCCUUGUGUGUUUUUUUUCAUACCACGUCUUUGCUCUUUGUAGGCCGUGAUUUCCACAGAACUCGCAAUGGAUCAUUCUUACCACAUUGUCAUGGUGUCGUUUGUAUUCGUGCAUUCGCUAACGAUGUGCCAUACUCUUUCACCCCUCUUACCUCACAUUCUGCAUUUGUCGCUAUCGGUAGUGUUGUCAAAUCUGCGCUUCAUAUAAUUGGUUAUCAACGCUUGUUCCUGGGCUGAAUGUAUCUGUCUCUAUCUUCAGGUCACUCCUCCUCAUUGAUAGCCACCUGUAUCUGUCUUGGCGUUCUAAUCUCUUGCAAACUGGCCGUACAUUUUUUCCUUUCAUGCCUUUCAUACCACUUUUUUGCUCUGUCAAGUCCAUACUUGUUGCAGAGUGUCCAAUGGACAAUCCUUGUUAUAUUAUGACAUCGCUUAUAUUCUUUCUGGGCUAGUGGCGUACAUUGGCUGGUAAUAUGCCAGACUGUUUCCCCAUUUUGUCUACAAAUUCUGCACUUAUUUGAUGUGUUCUCUAUUCUGUAUUUGAUGUAAUUGGUUCUUAAUGCUUGCUCUUAGGCAGCACAGGUUAGAGCUUCCGUUUCCAUUUUUAAAUUACUUUUACUCAUCCAUAGCCAUCUUUUUUCUGUGUCUGUCUUAUCUUCAACAUCCCUGAGAAGUUGUCCAUGCAUUCUUUUCUUUAUCCGCCUAUUUUCAGUUUGAUUCAUUCUCAAGUGCUUGCACAGUGCUUUAUUUUUGCAAUCUUCCAUCCUGCACAAGCCUGACCUUCUUACUUCCAAUAAUAGCAGUUCUGAGACAUUUGUUACAUACCACGUUAUGUUGUUUUAUUUUGCUCUAAUGCUGUGUUCGCAUCCAAACAGUCCCCUUCCUCCUCUCUUUCUUUGUACAUACAGUCUGUGUGAGUCACUUUUUGGAUUGAAUAUCCUAUAUCUAGUUAGCGACUUCCUUGUCUUUCUGUCUAAGCUGUUUAGUUCGUCUACUGUUCAUGCGAUCACCCCUGCUCUAUAUCUAAGGAGUAAAACCGCCCAGGUGUUGAUCGCUUCAAUCGUAUUCCGUCCGUUUAAUUUCAAAUUAAGGAUCCGUCUCAGUCUGCCCAAGUACUCCACCUUAAAUAUUUUUGUCAUUUUUUUCUCCAUCAAUUUAUCAAUUUCAAAUAUCCCCAAGUACUUAUAGCCCACCUCUUCUAUUUGUUUCAUAACCUCCCCCAACGGUAUCGCUGGCCCGUCCAUACAUUUGAUAUUUGCCUUUCUUCAAGACUAACACAUCACACUUUUUUAGUUUUAACUCCAUUCUGAUAUCAGCACUGCAAGUAUGCACCGUAUCAACGAGGGAACUGACUUGGGAUUCAUCUUUACUAUAAAGUUUGAAGUUUUCCAUAAGUAAUAAAUGGUUGACUUUAUGUUGGCGUUUCUUUGAUACACACCCAGCCUUUGCUCUCCUCAGAAUCACUGUUAGUGGUAUCAAGCACAGUACAAAGAUCAGUGAGGACAGGCAGUCUCCUUAGAAGAUGCCUCUCCUGAUUUCUAUUUCCCUAAACUUCUUCCGUAUGCUGUCAGGUCCGUCCUCCACUUCACCAUACUUUUUCCAAGCAAUCGCUCAACAUUUGAUGCAAUACCAAAUAGGUUCAUACAUUCCAUAAUUCAAGAAUGUGGGAUCAUAUCGUACACCUUACAAUAAUCGAUCUAUGACAUAACUAAGUUAGUUUUCCUCCUCUUGCAGUCUCUGAGUACAGUUUUGUCUAUCAGGAGUUGAUCCUUGGUAUCUCUGCUCUUACGUUUGCAACCCUUCUGCUCAUGUGGCAGGACUCCAUUUUUUCGUAUAUUAACUGCGACUAUUUUUGUCAAUAAUUUCUACACAAGUGGCAAGCAGGAUAUCGGCCUGUAAUUGUCUACCGUAUUGCCUUUUUCGAAGUUUUUCAGGCAUAGCACCAACCCAUUGUCGACCACUCUGGUGUUACUUGGUCGGUAUUUAACAGGGUGUUGAGUUGUGCAGCUAUUCAUGCAUGGCAUUCACCAAAUCUUUUUAUCCAGUAACCUUGAACUCCGUCUGGUCCUGGGGCCUUCCAGUUUCCCAUUUUGUUGCUGAUUUCCUUUACUUCCCAAACUGAAAUGAGUAGUUCUGCCUGUUUUGGACAGACUACUGUUUAUUUCAGUUCUUGCAACCAUUCAGCAUCCUUAUUGUGCUCCUUGUCUUUGCUCCAGAUGUCACUCCAAAACUUUUGGUUUUCAAUGCUAUCUGGUAUCAACUUUUCAUCUGUACACACUCCAUUUACUUCUUUGUAAAAUCCCUUCUGAUCUUCUCUGAAAAACCUAUUCUGCUGGUAUCCCUUCCUUCUUUGGUUGUAUUUUACUAUUUUUGCUUUCUUUGCAGCGAUGCGCUGUUUCAGUUUCUCCAUUACCACUUUCAGGCCCUUACCUUCAAUAUCAUAUUUCCUGUUCAGUGCUCUGUAUUUUUAUUUGCUUUUAAGCCCCGCCCUUAUCUUUUCGGUCUAACACAGAAAUGUUUUUCGAGAACAUGUCUAACCCCGCCUGUAUUUUUCUUUUCCACCAUGGAUCUUUUCUUUUUUUUAUGACAUCAACACCCAUAUUUUCUGCUAUAACAAUACUUACUGCCUUGAUCAAAUUAUUUGUUUCUGUGAUGGUUUUUGUUCUGAUGUAUUUCAUUCACAUUUGUUCGUUUCUUGGUUCAAUUUCCACCGAUCAACCUUUUUAAGGCUGCAAAUAAUGUCGCUAUCGUUCUCCUGUAGCCUUGCCUUUAUUCUGUCGUAGAUUGUCUUUUGCCCAUCUGUCAUAUCACCAUUAGUUUCAUUGUCUUCUUCCAGACCAUCUAUUUGUCUCUCAUUGACAAGCUAUCACUGUUUCUUGUGGUUUAUUAGAGAUCUCACCUCUGUUUUCUGCCAUGAGAUUAAUUUUAUCAAUAAGAACUUUAUUUUUAUCGUUCUUACUGUUGCUGUUAUCCAAUACCCGUCUUUUGAUAGCCUCGAGCUGUACUUCUGUGAGCCAACGUUUUUUUUCUUAUUGCUCUAGUUUGAUCACAUAAUCUUUAUUCCGUGAGUUGAAACAAUCCUCACUCUCUCUCCAUAAUACGUUGUCGGUAUCCCCUAAUAAGAACACCAUUUUCGUCUACAGGGUUGCUCAGGUCGUAACACUCCAUAACCACAGCAUUGACUUGUUUGUCCCAUCUACGCCGUGUGUGCUGGUCCCUUGCUGAAUAACGACAGGCUGGAGUCAGACCAGUAUCUCUGAGCCUGCUGGGCGCAACCCUGUCACCAUCAAGGGCUUUAGUUUCAUUACCACCGCUAUUCACAAUAUUUUGUUUUUUCAUUGUCAUUCGUAUGAGGUAGCGAUUAUUAGGUUGCGCAAUUACCAGUGUUUUUAUCGUGACACCAUUACUAGAUAUAUCAUCAAUCAGGACAUGGGGAGAUUCCAACCGCUUCCUUUCAUAAUUAUUAUUAUCAUCACUGAUUUUAUUAUUUUCAUUUUUUUUACUAUCUGUUAUUGUUACUGGGUUCUCAUUCCUAAGGUAUUUUUCGAUGUUAUUAUCAUUAUUAUUAUUAUUAUCAUUAUUAUUAUUAUUAUUAUUAUUAUUAUUAUUAUUAUUAUUAUUAUUAUUAUUAUUAUUCAGUAGUUUUAUUUUUAUUUUUAUAGCGUGCUUUCACUUCACUACCGAGCGCAGCUGUGUGCCUUGGGUAUGUGCUGUGAUUUGUUGUGAUGCUCUGAUGGUUAUUGUAUGGAAAGUGUUCUGCGUAGGAUGUGUGCAGUGCCUAGUAGUGCAAUUUUCUGUAUGUUAUAUGUGUUUGUAAGUCCUGGUGUUUUUGUUAUGUAUUUGUCUGAAUAUUUUUUUAUCAUGCCUAAUGCACCUACUAUGAUAGGAAUUGUUUCUGUUUUCAGAUUCCACAUUCUAGUUACCUCUAUUUCCAGGUCUUUGUAUUUUGAGAGUUUCUCCAUUUCUUUUAGAGACACGUUGUCAUCUGCCGGUACUGAUACAUCAAUUAGAAAGCAUUUUUUUCUUCAUGGUCUCUGACAACUAUAUCUGGUCUGUUGGCCUUAAUUUCUCUAUCUGUGUGUAUCGGCAUAUCCCAGAGUAUGGUUGCUUUCUCGCUUUCUGUGACCUUUUCUGGUGUGUGCCUAUACCAUCUUUUUUCUGUUGUUAUUCCAUAAUGUUGGCAUAGCUUCCAAUGUAUGUAGGUUCCAACUCUGUCAUGUCUGUGAAUAUAUUCCUUCUUAGCCAGGACUGGGCAGCUAGAGAUAAUAUGAUUUAUUGUUUCUUGUCCAUCUCCACAUAUUCUGCAGAUACUCGUAAUAUUUCUUUUCAUUACAUGUUUUUGGUAAUUUCUGGUGGGGAGGCUUUGGUCUUGUGCUGCAAUUAAAAAUCCCUCUGUUUCUGCUUUGAGUCCUGAGCUUCUCAACCAUUGCUGGGAUUUUUCUUUGUCUAUUUCUUUUGCGUUUAGUUUAGUCCAGUAUUUACCAUGAAGGGGCUUUUCUUGCCAUCGUUUUAUCAUGGUUCGUUGCUGUUCUAUUUUUAGUUUGGAUUUCAUUUUUUUUAUAGCUUUUGUUGUUUCUUCAUCUUCUUCUUCUUCUUCUUCAUGUUUAUUAGGUGGUAUGAUUUCUUGUUUGUAUUUGUCAGCUUCCUUAAAUACUGAGAACAGUUUUUUGUUUUGCUCGUGUUUUGCCGCUAUCUGGAUCAGUUUUCCUUCCUUCUGAAGUAGAUAUUUUUGCAGUCCUAUGGUGGUUAUUUUAUAGUAGUUUUCCAGCUGUAUAAGGCCUCUACCACCUUCUAUACGUUGUAUAUAUAGUCUUUCUAUGUCAGAUUUUGGGUGAUGCAUCCUAGAUCCUGUCAUUAUUUUUCUUGUUUUCCUAUCUAUUUUGGUCAGUUCAUUUCGUGUCCAGUUAAGGAUAUUGUAGCUGUAACUUAUAACUGGGAUAGCUAAAGUGUUGAUACCUAUUAUCUUGUUUUUAGCAUUGAGCUCUGUGUUUAGUAUUGAUCUAACUCGUCUAUAAUAUUCUUUUUUUAUUUUCUCUUUCAUUUGUGUGUGUUGUGUCUUAUCUAGUUCAUGGAUUCCUAAGUAUUUGUAAGUUUGGCUUUGGUCUAAUUCUUUUAUUUCAUUUGCUUCAUCUAGUGUGAUGUUGUUACUCUUAACUAGUUUUCCUCUUUUCAUGGUUACUUUGGCGCAUUUUUCUAAUCCAAAUUUCAUAUCUAUUUCUUUGGUAAAUCCAUGAACUGUCUUUAAUAGUGUUUCCAGCUGUUUGUCAUUUGCAGCGUAUAGUUUUAGGUCAUCCAUAUAUAAAAGGUGGCUGAUCGUUUUGCCGUAACAUUUAUAUCCGCAUCCAGUUCUAUUUAGCAUAUCAGAUAGAGGUGACAGUGCCAAGCAGAAAAGGAGUGGAGAGAUUAUUAUUAUUAUUAUUAUUAUUAUUAUUAUUAUUAUUAUUAUUAUUAUUAUUAUUAUUAUUAUUAUUAUUAUUAUUAUUAUUAUUAUUAUUAUUCAGGUCACUGCCUGGAAUCGAACUCGGGAUCUUGGGGUUAGUAGUCCGCGCUGUUAACCACUACGCCACGGGCAUAUGGCGUAGUGCUUAAGAGCUACUACAAGAUUCCGAGUUCGAUUCCAGGCAGUGACCUGAAUAAUAAUAAUAAUAAUAAUAAUAAUAAUAAUAAUAAUAAUAAUAAUAAUAAUAAUAAUAAUAAUAUCAACAUCGAAAAAUAACUAAGGAAUGAGAACCCAGGUUCGAAAUUUCCCUAAGACUCCUGAUGAAGGCUGGAGAGUAUAUCAGUCAAAACGUUGUGUUAACAACAAACAAAAUGAGGACAAAUAUCCGUCAAAUGUAAAUAAUGUAAAUAAUCACCUUGUUUUAUUUUUUAUUACUGAUAGAAAAAUGAUACACACACAUACACAUACACACACACACACACACACACACACACACACACACACACACACACACACAUAUUGAUGGUCACAUCGUUGAAUUUUUCUUUUUUUCUUUCUAUGAAUUUUGCUGUGGUUUACAGUUAUUAUUAUUAUUAUUAUUAUCAUUAUUGAGUGAGAGAGUAGUGCAUGCCAUCAAAGUGAUACUGGGGUAAAAUAUACCAAGCCCAGUAUACCCAUCAUGACUACCCGUCUGAAAAGGGUACACCAGGCACAUGCAUCACAACCAUAUGUGCGCGACAUGGUGAUCUCAUAUCAAGAUAAACAGCACAUGACCUUGCAGGUGGGGCCCAGUUAGAAUUUUCUUCCCGCUCAAAAAGUCCCUGAAUAAGGAUUGUUUAAGGAUGUUGAACGAACCACCCAUGUUUCCAAGGUGAAUUAUCCAAACCUCCAAGAAUUCCUUUCAACACAUGGCUAUGAUUCUCCUCCACUACUUCUGCUCAUGAUCAGAGAUGCACAUAUCGUCAGCCACUAAGGGACAUACUCAACUGGUUAAGGUCAAACAACUGACAAUCAAAUCUGUGGUAUUGAGCAGAAUAUUUGCUGUAGCCUAUCUUUUAUACCAAGACAAAAUAAUAAUAAUAAUAAUAAUAAUAAUAAUAAUAAUAAUAAUAAUAAUAAUAAUAAUAAUAAUAAUAAUAAUAAUAAUAAUAAUAAUAAUAAUAAUAAUAAUAAUUAUUAUUAUUAUUAAAAUUGGGUAAAAUCCUCAAUGACGACACUAUUUCUACGACAAGAAACAAUCCCAGUUGUUACAUACAGUUCACUCAAAUUUUUAAUUACGUAUACCUUCUCAAAUACAAGCAUUCACCCACAUACACACAAAGUCCCAGACCCACGUAUUACUUCAAUUGCUCAAACUAUUUUAUCAUUCAGUUGACUCUCUCCAAAUGUAUUUUUCUUUUAUUUACAUGUACAGCGUAGUAAUAUCGGUGAAGAUGGCCACCAGCUUCAAGAAAGCUUUAAUGAACAAAAUUAAUUGAGGUAGAAGCAACUUUUUACUGGACAUGCGCAGAUGAGCGAUGAGGUGAUGAGUCGGAAAAUCGGUGAGGCAAAAGAUGAACAAGUUACUGAUAAGUGGAUCAUUAAAACACACUUGUACUAACUUGACUCUCUGGUCUUUAUAAUAUAUUUAUUCUAUUUGUGUCUUAUAUGCAUGUAGCUUCAAUUUUCUUUUGAAAUGUCUCUGAAUAAUUUGUAAACCAAUUUCCUUUCUUAAUUUUCUAACGUUCAUGUCUCAAAACGGAUGGAGGCCAUCGUAGCAUUGAGGACUAUUAAAAAGGAAAAGAAGGGGCCUACAAAUUCCUGGCUAGCUAUUUCAAGAGGCGACACCUAGUAGUGUUCGAUACGUCUUCCCUGUUACAAUGUUUGAAUACUUCUCUACUUGUCAGUCAUGGGUUCCGCACAACUUCCAUUUCCACACUUGACAAAGUACGAUUCGAAACAACCAUCGACUAACAAUUUUAUGUCAAAAAAAUUGUUCGUAAACCGAUUUGUUCGUAAUGAGAGGCGUUCGUAAACCGAAGUUCUACUGUAUUUACAGUUUCACUGUCAGAAAUCAAUUUACUUCAUAUCUCUUUCAUUUUCUGAAUUCUUACCAUGUAAACAUCUUGCCAAUGAGAAAAAAUCCUCCCCGAUAAGAACAAAACUUCUAAAUUGGAUGAAAAAAUUUGAAGCGUUGCUUUGGUGUAAUGGUUUGCGUGUCUGUCAUUCUUACAAAAAAGUAGGUUCGGGUCCUGUGGUCAACGUGCUACUUUUUUCCAUCCAGAGGACUCUUUAUCAUCCAAUAGUCUAUAUGCUAUCAUUUAUAGCUUUAUGGACUUUGAGCCCCACAGUUAAAAAUAAUUUACUCUACGACUCCAUAUUUUUUUGUACGCAUAAAAAUGUGUAUUUCAUUUUGUGCAAUGCAUGUUAUUUAGAAGUGCUUAUUCUGUGAUUGUAAGAAUGUCAGGAAUUCUGAUCUCGGCUAAAGACAAUCUGCUUUCUCCAGUAGAAAAGUGUUUUCACUAAGUGCUCGGCAUCACAGUUUCCUGUCCUCACCAAAAAAUGCUGUCUUACAAUUCACUAGAUUUGAAACCGAAAGUCAUCUCUUUAUUGAUAGUACAGCAACAUUAUAAUUCACAAACAAAAAUUCAACACAAUAUGUAUCGGAAAGAGACAAACAUCGCCACAGCAGUGAAUCAUGAGAACGUCAGACGCGUUUCGCCUUUCUUGGAGCUUGUCAUCCCUGUCAAUGGUGUGUAUUUGCUGAAUAUGAUACACAGAUGGCAUUUAUAAUUUAAUGCUGUUUCAAUUGCGUACACUGAGUUUAUUUACGCUCGGCAAGCUGUGCGCAAUGUUAGUGAAUGUGUUAUUCGCUGGUCGCUAUAUGACGGAUGUAACAUAUUCCGUCUAGGAACGAGUCAAUUGGGUAUUUGUCACUGACUAGGCCCAAGAAAGGAAAACACGUUUGAUGUUCAUGAGAGUCGCUGCUAGGACGAUACUCGUCUUACUCCAAAAUAUAUUGUGUUUUUAACAAGACAUGUCUGUGAAGAAAUUUUCUCGCAGACAUUUUGCAAACUAUAGCAUCAAGUCUUUCAAUGGUGUAUAUACGGUAAGUACAGCUUACAGAUGGUUAUUUCAAUUCAAUGCUGGUUCUGUUGCUUGCAUUUUAUUUUAGGAACAAUGUCUAUUUUGCAAUAAAAUAAUCAAGAAUAAAGGCACUUGGGAAGCAAAUGUCAUCCAUUGUC